rnacentral:rRNA from 1 species
AUGAACGCUAGCUACAGGCUUAACACAUGCAAGUCGAGGGGCAGCAUGGUCUUAGCUUGCUAAGGCCGAUGGCGACCGGCGCACGGGUGAGUAACACGUAUCCAACCUGCCGUCUACUCUUGGACAGCCUUCUGAAAGGAAGAUUAAUACAAGAUGGCAUCAUGAGUCCGCAUGUUCACAUGAUUAAAGGUAUUCCGGUAGACGAUGGGGAUGCGUUCCAUUAGAUAGUAGGCGGGGUAACGGCCCACCUAGUCUUCGAUGGAUAGGGGUUCUGAGAGGAAGGUCCCCCACAUUGGAACUGAGACACGGUCCAAACUCCUACGGGAGGCAGCAGUGAGGAAUAUUGGUCAAUGGGCGAGAGCCUGAACCAGCCAAGUAGCGUGAAGGAUGACUGCCCUAUGGGUUGUAAACUUCUUUUAUAAAGGAAUAAAGUCGGGUAUGGAUACCCGUUUGCAUGUACUUUAUGAAUAAGGAUCGGCUAACUCCGUGCCAGCAGCCGCGGUAAUACGGAGGAUCCGAGCGUUAUCCGGAUUUAUUGGGUUUAAAGGGAGCGUAGAUGGAUGUUUAAGUCAGUUGUGAAAGUUUGCGGCUCAACCGUAAAAUUGCAGUUGAUACUGGAUAUCUUGAGUGCAGUUGAGGCAGGCGGAAUUCUUGGUGGAGAGGUGGAAUGCUUAGAUAUCACGAAGAACUCCGAUUGCGAAGGCAGCCUGCUAAGCUGCAACUGACAUUGAGGCUCGAAAGUGUGGGUAUCAAACAGGAUUAGAUACCCUGGUAGUCCACACGGUAAACGAUGAAUACUCGCUGUUUGCGAUAUACAGCAAGCGGCCAAGCGAAAGCGUUAAGUAUUCCACCUGGGGAGUACGCCGGCAACGGUGAAACUCAAAGGAAUUGACGGGGGCCCGCACAAGCGGAGGAACAUGUGGUUUAAUUCGAUGAUACGCGAGGAACCUUACCCGGGCUUGAAUUGCAACUGAAUGAUGUGGAGACAUGUCAGCCGCAAGGCAGUUGUGAAGGUGCUGCAUGGUUGUCGUCAGCUCGUGCCGUGAGGUGUCGGCUUAAGUGCCAUAACGAGCGCAACCCUUGUUGUCAGUUACUAACAGGUUCCGCUGAGGACUCUGACAAGACUGCCAUCGUAAGAUGUGAGGAAGGUGGGGAUGACGUCAAAUCAGCACGGCCCUUACGUCCGGGGCUACACACGUGUUACAAUGGGGGGUACAGAGGGCCGCUACCACGCGAGUGGAUGCCAAUCCCCAAAACCUCUCUCAGUUCGGACUGGAGUCUGCAACCCGACUCCACGAAGCUGGAUUCGCUAGUAAUCGCGCAUCAGCCACGGCGCGGUGAAUACGUUCCCGGGCCUUGUACACACCGCCCGUCAAGCCAUGGGAGCCGGGGGUACCUGAAGUGCGUAACCGCGAGGAGCGCCCUAGGGUAAAACUGGUGACUGGGGCU